ACUGGGCGCAGUGGCCCACGCCUGUAAUCCCAGCAGCUCUGGAGGCUGAGACAGGAGGAUCAAGUUCAAAGCCAGCCUCAGUAAUGGCGAGGUUCUAAGCAAUUCCGUGAGACCCUGUUUCUA
rnacentral:sRNA from 1 species